AUUGGACUCUAGUAAUGAAACUUGCUGCUCGCGGUUGAUGUUUCCAUUUUUACCGGUAAAAACAUUAAAGACAACUUUUGUUAAGAGGAACCUCGUAUCAAACCGUCGAUCUAUUUUAUCGAAGCGAAACAGCUUUACCGACAUAAAUCGCACUUACUAUAGAUUCGGAAUGCUUCAAGAAAGCGGCUAUAUAGAAAAUUAAGCGAGCGUUUUCGGGUCGAAAAUGUCUUCACGGAUACAGAAAAAGCGCAAUUAUUACCGUUGAAUGUUGAAACACAAUUGUUUUAAUUCGACGGUGACACGACAAAAGUGUCUAAGCGACACUUUGAGUUUAACCGACAUGACUUCACUGUUUGUCGGGGAAAUACGUGUUUCGUCCAUUGCGCGUGCUUAAAAACAGCUGUGACCAUUCUUUAACGAACAAUUUGAAUUUUAAAUUCGCGGUAUAAACGAUACUUUUUAUUUUGUCUUCUCGAUUAUAUAGGGGCUAAACGACAACGAAAGC